UGCUUUGCACGGUGGCAGUGCUAUAGCCAGUGAGGUUUAUCCCAGGAGCGAUCAUUGCUAAUUGAAAACUUUCCCUGAUACCUCGCCAUGACAACUUGAAAUAUACUGGCGAUCUUUAACGGUCUCUGUGGAAA
ensembl:snRNA U4 U4 spliceosomal RNA